rnacentral:rRNA from 1 species
UACGAAGGGUGCAAGCGUUAAUCGGAUUUAUUGGGCGUAAAGGGCGCGUAGGCGGAAGAGUAAGUCACUUGUGAAAUCCUAGGGCUCAACCCUAGAACAGCAAUUGAAACUACUUUUCUUGAGGAUGGACGGAGAAAGUGGAAUUCCAUGUGUAGCGGUGAAAUGCGUAGAUAUAUGGAAGAAUACCAGUGGCGAAGGCGACUUUCUAGUUUUUACCUGACGCUGAGGCGCGAGAGCAAGGGGAGCAAAC